UAGCCAUAUGCUUUGUUCAAGGGGUAAGCCAUGCAUGUCUCAGAGCAAAUGGUUAGAAACAGUGGGUCCGUGAAUGGCUCCCUACAUCAGCAGUCACCUGGGUGGUAAUUUCAACACAGUGGGACAUCCUUCAAAACCUGGUGGGUAAUACCCGAAUCAACUGGCCCACACAGAAGGAAGGGUGUACAAGUGUGCACUCUGUGUGUGGAGCUUGCUACCAGCUUAGAUACAGACUGGCACCCACAACCUGAGCCUAUCAGAGUUGUACAGGGUAGAUUGUUGUUGACCCAGGCUGGUGACACUAACAGCUUUGGCACUUUUAGAUGGUGUUCAAUUACACCACUUGCUUGACCCCCCGGGCUUUUGACCUAUUAGCUAGACUGUGGUGCAAUGGACCACAAUGGCACUUUCGGGUAACGGGGAAUCAGGGUUUGACUCCGGAGAGGGAGCCUGAGAGAUGGCUACCCCUUCCAAGGUGGGCAGCAGGCACGUAAAUUGCCCCCUACAGACACAACCUGUGAGGCAGCAACGAACUGUAAUAAUCCUGUUGGCUAUGUGUGUUGACAUGACUUGUAAUGGAAGGUAUUUAAACACAGUCAUGAGUAUCAACUGGAGGGCCAUUAUGGGAAUU
rnacentral:rRNA from 1 species